rnacentral:rRNA from 1 species
CCUACGGGAGGCAGCAGUGAGGAAUAUUGGUCAAUGGACGAGAGUCUGAACCAGCCAAGUAGCGUGAAGGAUGACUGCCCUAUGGGUUGUAAACUUCUUUUAUAAAGGAAUAAAACGAGGCACGUGUGCCUUUUUGCAUGUACUUUAUGAAUAAGGAUCGGCUAACUCCGUGCCAGCAGCCGCGGUAAUACGGAGGAUCCGAGCGUUAUCCGGAUUGAUUGGGUUUAAAGGGAGCGUAGAUGGGUUGUUAAGUCAGUUGUGAAAGUUUGCGGCUCAACCGUAAAAUUGCAAUUGAUACUGGCAGUCUUGAGUACAGUUGAGGUAGGCGGAAUUCGUGGUGUAGCGGUGAAAUUCUUAGAUAUCACGAAGAACCCCGAUUGCGAAGGCAGCUUACUAUACUGUGACUGACAUUGAUGCUCGAAAGUGUGGGUAUCAAACAGGAUUAGAUACCCCUGUAGUC